GUUUCAAUUCCUCAUGGGUAGGCUGAAAAC
rfam:Clostridia bacterium 41_269 MPF_scaffold_35, whole genome shotgun sequence.